rnacentral:rRNA from 1 species
GUCCUAAGGUAGCGAAAUUCCUUGUCGGGUAAGUUCCGACCUGCACGAAUGGCGUAAUGAUGGCCAGGCUGUCUCCACCCGAGACUCAGUGAAAUUGAACUCGCUGUGAAGAUGCAGUGUACCCGCGGCAAGACGGAAAGACCCCGUGAACCUUUACUAUAGCUUGACACUGAACAUUGAGCCUUGAUGUGUAGGAUAGGUGGGAGGCUUUGAAGUGUGGACGCCAGUCUGCAUGGAGCCGGCCUUGAAAUACCACCCUUUAAUGUUUGAUGUUCUAACGUGGACCCGUGAUCCGGGUUGCGGACAGUGUCUGGUGGGUAGUUUGACUGGGGCGGUCUCCUCCUAAAGAGUAACGGAGGAGCACGAAGGUUGGCUAAUCCUGGUCGGACAUCAGGAGGUUAGUGCAAUGGCAUAAGCCAGCUUGACUGCGAGCGUGACGGCGCGAGCAGGUGCGAAAGCAGGUCAUAGUGAUCCGGUGGUUCUGAAUGGAAGGGCCAUCGCUCAACGGAUAAAAGGUACUCCGGGGAUAACAGGCUGAUACCGCCCAAGAGUUCAUAUCGACGGCGGUGUUUGGCACCUCGAUGUCGGCUCAUCACAUCCUGGGGCUGAAGUAGGUCCCAAGGGUAUGGCUGUUCGCCAUUUAAAGUGGUACGCGAGCUGGGUUUAGAACGUCGUGAGACAGUUCGGUCCCUAUCUGCCGUGGGCGCUGGAGAACUGAGGGGGGCUGCUCCUAGUACGAGAGGACCGGAGUGGACGCAUCACUGGUGUUCGGGUUGUCAUGCCAAUGGCACUGCCCGGUAGCUAAAUGCGGAAGAGAUAAGUGCUGAAAGCAUCUAAGCACGAAACUUGCCCCGAGAUGAGUUCUCCCUGACCCUUUAAGGGUCCUGAAGGAACGUUGAAGACGACGACGUUGAUAGGCCGGGUGUGUAAGCGCAGCGAUGCGUUGAGCUAACCGGUACUAAUGAACCGUGAGGCUUAACCUUACAACGCCGAAG